UGGGGCCCGCACGUCAGCGUUGUCGUAACCCACCCGAGCGGAUGUCGCGCGAUGAGCCCCCCCCCCCCCCCCCCCCCUUGCGCUAGCUGGCCGCACCGACCUAGUCGUGCCCCAGCCAUAAAACCGGGCCCCCAACCCUCGGACCGAACCUCACCGCCACCGUAGCGCGGGUCGCCGUUGAGAGAGAGAGAGAGUCCAGAGAGGGAGAUAGCGCCGCCACCGUAGGCGACGGGCAAUCAGCGUCGGUAGACCCUCGUGACUGGUUGGAGCACUUCGCCGAAUCCCGCAUUUAUAUUGGGAGUUGGAAGCUAAAGAAAAACUGCUCCUCGUUGAUCCAUGUUCAGAAGGAUGAUGAUGCACCAAAGUUCUCUUUAUUUCUUCCUUACUGUAAUUUCUGAUGGUCUAAAUCCUAAACUGAAAAUAACAGCCAGGAUGGCGUGUGAGUCCGGCUAGACCGAGGAGUGACCAACUCUGAAUGGUCCUCUGAAUUCCCAAGCUUUGACAUCUCACACAUUUGUUCUUCCAAGUCGGACCACACUGCUCCUUUUGAAACUGCAGGGAUCCUUCCGGUACGAGAUGAUGUGGGCGCGGGCAGAGCCGCAGAGGGGACUAGCAGCCGUGUUAGAAGGCACAUGGAACAGGACAAUCAUUAGAUGACUAGGGUGUUGAAAUAGUGGACCAACCGAGCAAGGAUGACUUAUGAGCAGCUUCAGGAUCUCACCCAACUGUUCUAGGUGUGGAGAUUCUGGCCGGCAACAAUAUUGCAGCCCUCUUAUCUAUGUCUAGAUUACAAGUUCGAGCUACUGGUUUAUAGCAUAGUAAGUACAAAUCAUCUCGUGAACUCAUACCUCUUGAUGCAAAAAUACUGAAAACACACCUGGUUUUUAUGGGACUGCCAGCGGUUGCAGAUUUAUGUCAAAUUGUAAACUUGUUUGAUAAAUAGUAGUAGAAGAAAUUUCAAAGAGCUAUACUUGGGUUCUCAAAAUUAUCAGAAAACUAUGCAUUUUAGAAUUAUUAUCAUAUGUAACUAUAUAAAUUUGCAUGCUUUGCAGUUUUAGCAUGAUUAUUGCAUCGCGCCAUGUUUUAUGAACCAAUUUACAGUGACACAGCCCUUCAUUUAUCGAGUGCCCAUACCAUGUUUUGACUACUGAGAUAUCAAGCAUAUAUGAACCACAGUGCACUUCUCAGUUCUUUCAAGUGCACUUAUAAACUUAUUAUGUGUAUAUGAUUAUAUUGGAGAUCAGGCAUAUAAGCGAGAGAGGACAUUUACUUUGAUAACUAUAUGAAUGACCCAAAGGCGCCUGGUGGUACACCUAUAAUGCAGCAACGUGCUCCAAAAUUUUCUGCAUCAAUUGGGCUUCCCAACAGUGAGCCAAACCAUAUAUAUGUAAGCUUUUUUUUUCUUUCAGCUUGGGUAACUGCACUUGUCCAGAUCUUGUAAAAAAGCAUUAAUUUGAUAGAGAACUAAAAUUGUACGAAAGCCCAACACCUACAAAAUAUCUAGCUUCUCUUCCACAGACUUGAGUAUAUCAAGGAGAUCGAGGUUGCCUGUUGAAAGGCACGAGGUAAAUUUGUUGUUGAUUCUAAAAGGAUUUUUUUUGUCUUGUUAUGUUUUAUUUUGACCCCCUCAAGGCAUUGCAAUCAUUUCCCAAGCCACCGUAUCCAAGAGAUGGCAGUGUCACCCAAAGAAGCAGUUGUUCGUAAUAUGUGAUUUAGGAAUUCUAUGAAUUAUAUCUACGUAUGGUUAGUUCUAUGCUGACAAUCUGUAACAUGUGUAUACUUGUAUAUAUGAACCUGAAACCUAUGUAUGCUGAAACAUGUUGCCACACCCGGAUUUACGGACAAA